rnacentral:rRNA from 1 species
GACGAACGCUGGCGGCGUGCUUAACACAUGCAAGUCGAACGGAAAGGCCCUGCUUUUGUGGGGUGCUCGAGUGGCGAACGGGUGAGUAACACGUGAGUAACCUGCCCUUGACUUUGGGAUAACUUCAGGAAACUGGGGCUAAUACCGGAUAGGAGCUCCUGCUGCAUGGUGGGGGUUGGAAAGUUUCGGCGGUUGGGGAUGGACUCGCGGCUUAUCAGCUUGUUGGUGGGGUAGUGGCUUACCAAGGCUUUGACGGGUAGCCGGCCUGAGAGGGUGACCGGCCACCUUGGGACUGCGAUACGCCCCAGACUCCUACGGGGGGCAGCGGUGGGGAAUAUUGCACAGUGAGCGGGAGCCUGAUGCAGCAACGCCGGGUGCGGGAGGACGGCCUUCGGGUUGUGAACCGCUUUCGGCUGUGACGAAGCGUGUGUGACGGUAAUGAGUGAAGAAGCACCGGCUAACUACGUG